rnacentral:tRNA from 1 species
CGGGGCGUAGCGCAGCCUGGUAGCGCACUUGGUUCGGGACCAAGGGGUCGAGUGUUCAAAUCACUUCUCCCCGACCA